UGCAAGCGUUAUCCGGAAUUAUUGGGCGUAAAGCGUCCGCAGGCGGCCCUUCAAGUCUGCUGUUAAAAAGUGGAGCUUAACUCCAUCAUGGCAGUGGAAACUGUUGGGCUUGAGUGUGGUAGGGGCAGAGGGAAUUCCCGGUGUAGCGGUGAAAUGCGUAGAUAUCGGGAAGAACACCAGUGGCGAAGGCGCUCUGCUGGGCCAUCACUGACGCUCAUGGACGAAAGCCAGGGGAGCGAAAGGGAUUAGAUACCCCUGUAGUCCUGGCCGUAAACGAUGAACACUAGGUGUCGGGGGAAUCGACCCCCUCGGUGUCGUAGCCAACGCGUUAAGUGUUCCGCCUGGGGAGUACGCACGCAAGUGUGAAACUCAAAGGAAUUGACGGGGGCCCGCACAAGCGGUGGAGUAUGUGGUUUAAUUCGAUGCAACGCGAAGAACCUUACCAGGGUUUGACAUCCUGCGAAUCUCUUGGAAACAGGAGAGUGCCUUCGGGAACGCAGUGACAGGUGGUGCAUGGCUGUCGUCAGCUCGUGUCGUGAGAUGUUGGGUUAAGUCCCGCAACGAGCGCAACCCACGUCUUUAGUUGCCAGCAUUUAGUUGGGCACUCUAGAGAGACUGCCGGUGAUAAACCGGAGGAAGGUGUGGAUGACGUCAAGUCAUCAUGCCCCUUACAUCCUGGGCUACACACGUACUACAAUGCUACGGACAAAGGGCAGCAAGUUCGCGAGGACAAGCAAAUCCCAUAAACCGUGGCUCAGUUCAGAUCGUAGGCUGCAACUCGCCUACGUGAAGGCGGAAUCGCUAGUAAUCGCAGGUCAGCAUACUGCGGUGAAUACGUUCCCGGGCCUUGUACACACCGCCCGUCACACCAUGGAAGUUGGCCACGCCCGAAGCCGUUACUCCAACCCUUGUGGAGGAGGACGUCGAAGGUGGGGCUGAUGACUGGGGUGAAGUCGUAACAAGGUACCG
rnacentral:rRNA from 1 species